rnacentral:tRNA from 3 species
GGGGCCAUAGCUCAGUUGGGAGAGCACCGGCUUUGCAAGCCGGGGGUCGCCGGUUCGAGCCCGGCUGGCUCCA